rnacentral:rRNA from 1 species
UGGGGGAUAUUGCACAAUGGGCGAAAGCCUGAUGCAGCGACGCCGCGUGGGGGAUGAAGGCCUUCGGGUUGUAAACUUCUUUUGCUCUGAACAAGGCGCACCAUGGGGUGUGUUGAGUGUAGGGGUUGAUUAGCGCCGGCUAACUACGUGCCAGCAGCCGCGGUAAUACGUAGGGCGCGAGCGUUGUCCGGAAUUAUUGGGCGUAAAGGGCUUGUGGUGGCUGGUUGCGUCUGUCGUGAAAGCUCAUGGCUUAACUGUGGGUUUGCGGUGGGUACGGGCUGGCUUGAGUGCAGUAGGGGAGGCUGGAAUUCCUGGUGUAGCGGUGGAAUGCGCAGAUAUCAGGAGGAAUACCGGUGGCGAAGGCGGGUCUCUGGGCUGUUACUGACACUGAGGAGCGAAAGCAUGGGGAGCGAACAGG